UUUGUUUAAAUAAAUUCUUUGUUUUUUGGAGCUUUGCAACUGCCUGCAUCAUGGGUUCAUUCCUGCCUGAGAUUCGUAACACGAUGAGCAUUUUGGGGACUACUAUUCAUCCAGUAAGUUUUUAGGACUGCAUCUGCCCAGCAGAGGCUGCCAUGGCAACUGAGACCUUUUUAUUGCAUUUAUGCCAAAUCAUUUUUAUUUCUGAGUAAACCUUUCAAAGAAGAACUGAGACAUUAAAACAAAAAACGAAGCUGUUCAAUCCGAGUGCUCUUCAUCUUCUCGGGGUUAGGCAGGGGCGGGGUUGCUCAGCAAACUCCAAAGUGAGGAUGACCUUGGUGGGAAAGCCAAAACCAACAUCCAGGUGGAGCCAAGUUCAUUUAGUUUCCGAUGAAAGGGGAUUUCUGAGUCCUUCGGGCAGCCGGGGACAGACGGAGGACAGCAGGAGUUUCACACAGAUUCAAACACAGGAAGCUGGACUUUAGAUUCAUUGUGUCAACGACACACACGACUCAGAUACACUGCGAGACUCUGUGUGGACGUCUUGAUGGGGGUAUAAGCUUCCACAGAGGGGAGCGUUAUGUGAACGUGCUGACAAGCCUCUCUGAGUGACCCCUUGUGCUGCAGAGAUGUUGCAGGUCACUCUGAUGAGAGACAGAUGUGGGCACAGGAAGUUCUGCAUUUAUCAGCCAAAACCCACUGAUGUCAGGAACUCUCAAAAAGGGAUCAAAAUACCGUGUGGAGGAUUUUCAUUAGACUGUCAGUAUCUGCUCUAACAGCCCCAAUCCCCAAAAAGCUGUUUAAAACAUUGCAAAAACAGAAUUAAAUGAUUUGUUCAUUUGAUAAACUUACAUUUUAUUAACAAUCCUGGACAAUUUAGAGCAGUUUCUCUCUCUAAAUACAAUAUGGGUAUGUUUAUUUUUGUUUUUAUGUACUGUAUAUUCUACUUUUUUAUUUUUAUUGCCUGUAAACGUACAGUGCUGGAAGCCUUGAUUAAUAAAGUAUCAAUCAAUCAAUCAA